rnacentral:rRNA from 1 species
GACGAACGCUGGCGGCGUGCUUAACACAUGCAAGUCGAGCGCCCCGCAAGGGGAGCGGCAGACGGGUGAGUAACGCGUGGGAAUCUACCCAUCCCUACGGAAUAGCUCCGGGAAACUGGAAUUAAUACCGUAUACGCCCUACGGGGGAAAGAUUUAUCGGGGAUGGAUGAGCCCGCGUUGGAUUAGCUAGUGGGUGGGGUAAAGGCCUACCAAGGCGACGAUCCAUAGCUGGUCUGAGAGGAUGAUCAGCCACAUUGGGACUGGGACACGGCCCAAACUCCUACGGGAGGCAGCAGUGGGGAAUAUUGGACAAUGGGGGCAACCCUGAUCCAGCCAUGCCGCGUGAGUGAUGAAGGCCUUAGGGUUGUAAAGCUCUUUCACCGGGGAAGAUAAUGACGGUACCCGGAGAAGAAGCCCCGGCUAACUUCGUGCCAGCAGCCGCCGCGG